GGGCAUGUAGUGUAGGGGUUAUCGCGUCCGCUUCGCAUCUUUGCGUAGUAACAUGAUCUAUGUGAAUGCGGAAGGUCUCCGGUUCAAUUCCGGACUUGUCCA